UGGGGAAUUUUGGACAAUGGACGCAAGUCUGAUCCAGCCAUGCCGCGUGCGGGAAGAAGGCCUUCGGGUUGUAAACCGCUUUUGUCAGGGAAGAAACGAGUUUCUCUAAUACAGAGACUUAAUGACGGUACCUGAAGAAUAAGCACCGGCUAACUACGUGCCAGCAGCCGCGGUAAUACGUAGGGUGCAAGCGUUAAUCGGAAUUACUGGGCGUAAAGCGUGCGCAGGCGGUUAUAUAAGACAGAUGUGAAAUCCCCGGGCUCAACCUGGGAACUGCCUUUGUGACUGCAUAGCUAGAGUACGGUAGAGGGGGAUGGAAUUCCGCGUGUAGCAGUGAAAUGCGUAGGUAUGCGGAGGAACACCGAUGGCGAAGGCAAUCCCCUGGACCUGUACUGACGCUCAUGCACGAAAGCGUGGGGAGCAAACA
rnacentral:rRNA from 1 species